rnacentral:rRNA from 1 species
UACGAAGGGGGCUAGCGUUGUUCGGAAUCACUGGGCGUAAAGGGCGCGUAGGCGGCUUGAUAAGUCGGGGGGUGAAAGCCUGUGGCUCAACCACAGAAUUGCCUUCGAUACUGUCUGGCUUGAGACCGGAAGAGGUAAGUGGAACUGCGAGUGUAGAGGUGAAAUUCGUAGAUAUUCGCAAGAACACCAGUGGCGAAGGCGGCUUACUGGUCCGGUUCUGACGCUGAGGCGCGAAAGCGUGGGGAGCAAACAGG